rnacentral:rRNA from 1 species
CCAUGCAUGUCUAAGUAUAAGCAAUUAUACGGCGAAACUGCGAAUGGCUCAUUAUAUAAGUUAUCGUUUAUUUGAUAAUACUUUACUACUUGGAUAACCGUGGUAAUUCUAGAGCUAAUACAUGCUAAAAAUCCCGACUUCGGAAGGGUUGUAUUUAUUAGAUUAAAAACCAAUGCCCUCUGGGCUCUCUGGUGAAUCAUAAUAACUUGUCGAAUCGCAAGGCCUUGUGCCGGCGAUGGCUCAUUCAAAUUUCUUCCCUAUCAACUUUCGAUGUUUGGGUAUUGGCCAAACAUGGUGGCAACGGGUAACGGAGGGUUAGGGCUCGACCCCGGAGAAGGAGCCUGAGAAACGGCUACUACAUCCAAGGAAGGCAGCAGGCGCGCAAAUUACCCAAUCCCGACACGGGGAGGUAGUGACAAUAAAUACUGAUACAGGGCUCUUAUGGGUCUUGUAAUCGGAAUGAGUACAAUUUAAAUCCCUUAACGAGGAACAAUUGGAGGGCAAGUCUGGUGCCAGCAGCCGCGGUAAUUCCAGCUCCAAUAGCGUAUAUUAAAGUUGUUGUGGUUAAAAAGCUCGUAGUUGAACCUUGGGCCUGGCUGGCCGGUCCGCCUCACCGCGUGCACUGGUCCGGCCGGGCCUUUCCCUCUGUGGAACCUCAUGCCCUUCACUGGGUGUGACGGGGAAACAGGACUUUUACUUUGAAAAAAUUAGAGUGCUCCAGGCAGGCCUAUGCUCGAAUACAUUAGCAUGGAAUAAUAAAAUAGGACGUGUGGUUCUAUUUUGUUGGUUUCUAGGACCGCCGUAAUGAUUAAUAGGGACAGUCGGGGGCAUCAGUAUUCAAUUGUCAGAGGUGAAAUUCUUGGAUUUAUUGAAGACUAACUACUGCGAAAGCAUUUGCCAAGGAUGUUUUCAUUAAUCAGGAACGAAAGUUAGGGGAUCGAAGACGAUCAGAUACCGUCGUAGUCUUAACCAUAAACUAUGCCGACUAGGGAUCGGACGAUGUUAUAUUCUUGACGCGUUCGGCACCUUACGAGAAAUCAAAGUGCUUGGGCUCCAGGGGGAGUAUGGUCGCAAGGCUGAAACUUAAAGAAAUGACGGAA